rnacentral:lncRNA from 1 species
UAAGUAACAUGGGUUCUUCCUUUUUUAUUCAUUUUCUCACACAUUACCCACAUUUGAUUUAGCUCCUUUUGGGUUGUACCCUUUCAAAUAUAUGUUCUAUCUCUUAUUUGUUAUACUGAGUUCUUCAUUGGAUUGAUGACAUAGAUCAGAAAAUAUUUAUCUAAAUUUAGAGGUUACUAUAAUAUUCUAGAAUUCAUCCUACCUUUGUUUCCACAGCUUGUUUCCAGUUUCCUUUCUGGACCGAAAAUUUGUCUCAUUUGUCCAUUCUUAUCUCAUACAAUGACAGCAGUGUCCCUUCAACCUUCUUGAUUCAAGGCUCUUGGCUCUUGACCCACUCUAGGCCCACUCUACAUUGGACAAUGCAGUGAUGGUACUGUGUGAAUAAUGUCGUAACAACGGUCUGUGUGUUUGUGAACUUACAAAAACAAGAAAACGAAAAAAAAAAACAAAAAGUGGAUAUGCCUAUGGGUAUAGUUUAUUGCCCGGAUAUAGUCAUUAUUAUUAUUAUUAAUAUUAUUAUUAUUAUUGAUGUUAUUAUUAUUAUUAUUAUUAUUAUUUUUAUAUUUAUUGUUGUUGUCAUUGUUGUUAUUAUUGUUAUUGUGUUAUUAUUAUAUAAAAAAUUGAUCAGCUAAGCAUUAGAAAACAAGAUUUAGAUAAGAAAAAAAUGAGAAUAUAAUUGUAAAGGUAUCAAAAUAUGGUCUCAUAUGGUCUUAGUGAACCAUUUUCAUGACUUGCUACUUUUUCAUUAGUUGCUAUUUUUCAACAUGACCGAGAAGUUAUAGGGUGCCCUAGAAAGAAAAUUCCAAUUAAGAAAUAUGUUUCUCCAAGAUCAUUAGAUUAAUGAAUAAUUACUAGUCUGAAGAAUAGUAAAUGGCCUAAUCCAUGAGCACCUUAUCCUUGCUUGGAGUUCUUUGGAGUUCUAGUCUUAAUCAAUAGAGCAAUCUUGUCUACCUUUUUGGCAUGGCGGUAGGUGUAUAUUUAGUUAAAAAUUUCGUCUCCAACAUCAUUAAAUUAAAAUUAGGGUAUAGUACUUGAUGAAUAACUACUAGUUUUAAGAAUAGUGUACUUGUGCUUUGUAAGUAAAUUUGUCCAUUUGUUUCGAUUGAGUUGUUACUUAUUUUACAUAGAUUCUGCUUAUUUUUUUCCAUGUAUGAAAAUUUUGAGAAAGAUUUCAUGUGUUAAUUAUUUAGUAUGCAUUAUCAAUGUCCCAACACUCUAAGAUAUUUCCAACCAAGAUUUUAAAAUGAGUUUCAUCCACCUUUUUUCCUUCAUCUUCUUUCUUCAACUUUUCAUUUACCGCUAAAGGAGCAUUUAAAGGUUCAUAACCAACCACACAAAAUUCGUUUAGGACAUUCAACAUACCUCUUUUAGCAAAUAAAUGCAUGAUCUUCUUCUUGAUGGAAUUCAAUUCAAAAUAAUGCAGCAAUCUCGUCACUCAUUUCGGCUUUUUUUUUCCAUCAUUUUUUUUUCAAUCAUUUUUUCAUCAUUUCCAAUAAAAAAUUAAAUCAUCAACAUAAAGAACAACAAUAAGGAUCUUAAAGCUACCUUUGGCUUUGAAAUGUAGAGUAGCUAGACGCAUUCUUGCUUAUGUUAAAGUCAUUUUUGAUGAAGUAGCUAUCAAUUUAAAUAUACCAAACAUGAAGUUUCAAAUCGUACAAAGCCUUUUUCAACCUAUAAACAUUGUUUCCUAGGCCAAUAACAACAAAGUCUUGAGAUUGUUUAGUACACAUUUUUCUAUUCAAAUCUCCAUUCAAAAAUGUCGAUUUUUUACAUCAAGUUGGUAUAGUAACCAACCUUUCUCAACAGCCACAACAAUGAUAGCUCUAAUAGUGUCAAGACGAGCAACAGGAGUAAAAGUCUUAUGGAAUUGUGAUCAACCUUGCAUCAAACAUUUAAAUCCCACUAUCAAAAUGGUGUUUCGCUCCUAUGGAUCCACUUUAAUUACCUCCUUGCCACUCUGUUUUAUAAACAAUUACCAACUUGCAUUUUUUUUAAUGACAUCAAUUUCUUGGCCCAUUGCUUUCCUCCGAUCUUCAUCUUUUUAUUGUCUUUUCAAAGCUUUGAGGUUGUAAUGCAAAAAUUGCAUAUCUUAUAAAUGUCACUCAAAUUCCUCAUUUUUCUUGGAGUUAAAGAUGGUGGUGAUGAGCAUGAAGUUGAAGAUUCAGUUGAGGAUGGUAAUGAAACCAAACUUAGGGAGUUUUGAGGUGAUUAAAUUGAGUUUUCACCAUUAUCAUUUUCAGUGGGGGCUUUGGUUGGACUUCAUAAAAGAAAUUUGUUUGUUUGUUUGUUUGUUUGUUUUUAACUUUGCUUUCUUCCCAAUUCCAUGUAGUUUUUUCAUAAAAAAUGAUAUCUUUAUUUAUCAUUAACUUAUUUGAUUUUAGGUUUUAUAGCUUAUAGCUUAUAGCCAUUUGAUUAUGAGUUUUAAUCCAUGGAACUACAAUUUUUGCUUGAUUCAUCCACAUUACCCCUCUUUUCCUUUGGUACUUGCGAAUAACAUAUUUAGCCAAACUCUCUCAAAUGUCUCAUGAAUGGUGUUCUUUCACCCCAUGUUUCAAUUGGAGUUAUGUUUAACAAUGCCUCUAUUGGGCAUCUAUUCAAUAAUUAUGCAGUAGUGUUACCGACUUUAUCUUGGAAGAUUUUAGGUAACUCUUUCUCAUGUAGCAUUGCUUUAGCUAUUUUCAUAAUAGUUUGACUUUUUUCUUUCACUACUUCAUUUUGUUGAGAAGUAUAAGUAAUAAUGAGUUGUCUCUCAAUCCCUUCAUCUUAACAAAACUUCUCAAAUUGGCAUGGAGCAUAUUUUUUUAUUUUGUUACUUCUCAAGGUCUUUACAUAACAACCACUUUGUUUUUCAACAAAACUCUUGAAAUUUUUUAAGGCAACUAACAUUUUAAAAUUUUACCUCUUAAAGAAUACCAAAUAAUUGUUUCAAAUGCCUCUUUUUCUCUCCAUGAAACAUCAGGGUGAAUGUGAUCAAAUGCCUCCUUUUCAUUCCAUGAAACUCCCUUGGGAAAUACUUGUUUAUGAUAUUUUCCAAGAACACAACUUUUACAUACUUCAUUCUUUUUUUCAAUGGUGUUAGGUAGUUCUUAUACUAUCUUCUUUUAGCAGAGCAACUUCAAAUUUAUCUUGAAGUUCAAAGUGCUCAAACGUGCUAUGCAAAACCAUUCUUUUUUAACAUCUUAUACUUUGUAAGCCACAUUCUUAGCAUAUCUGAAGACAAUUGGAAUGUGAUUCAUGCCCAGUCGGUGUAUCAGCUGAUUUAUGUCGAGCUAGUGCUCCUUAGCUGAGGGAGUAAUCAACAAAAUUUAUAACCUACUACACCAUGAACUAGGGUAGCAAAGACAAAGCUACUAUAACAUAGUGGCUCUAGGAUCGUUCACUGGGAAGGGUUUUCAAUUCAUAAAUGAUACCAAUUCAAAGAUAAAUUGGUGCCUUUUCAUUUCAAGGUUAACUUAAGAAAGAAAACAUAAAAUAAGUUGAAAAAGGUUUUGUGUUAAGCUAACUAAAAAGAGAAUAAUGGAAAUUAUUUAUGAAGAAAAACAUUCCUUGGAGGUUUGGGUUUAUAGGGGAGAUUCCUUAUGCAAAAACAGAGCUCCGGUCAUUUGGUUCAUUUCCUCGCAUUAGAGAAUUAACAUAUAGUCAAUUCUCUAAUCGGUGUUGUACAGAUGCUUCCCCUUAAUGGGUUCAAACAUUAAAUCCCUCUCACUGAUGCACCUUGCAAUGGCUCAUGCCUCUCACUUAGCAUUUGCCAUUCAAGGUGAUCCUUAACCUUGGAUUAUCUGUCAAAAGCUUGCAAGAGAUAACUAAUGGAUGUCUCCUUGGAGUCCAAAAGCUUACCAAGUGUUGGCUAUUCUAGAAAAUCCUACCUUCAAAUCACCUCCCAAAAGCUCGCAAGAGGUAAACUAGUGCAUCUCCAUGAACGGAGAUCACUUGCUUCACCAAGUGUUGGCUCAAGUGAAUUGAAAGCAUUUUAAGUUAACUAAAAACAUAGAAAUCAUUAAAGGAUCUCACUUUCUUUUCAUUAAUGGCUGAAACCACAAAGCUAUAAAUUCUUGUAAUUGGAACCUUUCCCGGCAACCUUAACUCCAAGGAACUAAAAGUCUAGCCACUCAUUCUCUGAGGAAACUUCCUCAGAGCUUGUUUGGCUAGUAAGAAAACUAACAAGAAAACAAUUAUAUCUAGGAAAAACAGAGCAAGUGCUCUAUGAAUUCUAUAUCUUCUUCCUACUGAUUACAUCCUCUCGCUAAAGAAAAAUACAAAUUAUCUAUAUAUCAGGUUAUUCACCCUUUUCCUUGCUUAAAGACUAAGGAAUCCUAUGAUAGGUGGAUUACAAGGAGACUUUGGGGAUUUAGACAAUCAAUAUCUAAUGCAAAAUAUCUUAGGAUGUCGGUCGGAAAUAACAGGAAGCUUUAGGAGACCACCGUGGCACUGUAUACCGAGAGAAAAACUCUGCGAGUAAGUGUUAUCAGAGAGUCCGGAUAUGUCUAUCCGGAGAAGUUGAAGCGUCCUUCUCUCCCAUCCAACUGUGAGAAAUCCGGAUAUAAAAUGUCGGCGCACGGAAUUCCUCCCCCAGGUGAACUGAGCUAUGCUGCACCAGGGGGACCGUCUACGUGUGCAAGGUGUAGGGACCCCUCUUCCGGGUGACACGGAGUGCGCAAGGCUAUCCUGAUCAACUCCAUCCGGAUUCCCCAAGAGGACACGCGGCGCUCGUGAACAUCACACCCGGACGAUAGCAUCUCCUAUCCAGAUAUGUAGUCCGGAUUAUUGACUUAACAUGAGCAAGCCUUCCUAUCUAUUUCCAAAAAUCUGCAACAGCCCAUGUUCCGCCGCCCUCCGAUAGUGUGUCCAGACGCCCCUGUCCGGACAUCUUUGUAUUGGAUUCCAAAGAACUCUUCUCAAUCUCAGAUUUGCUUUGGUGAUCCAAAAGCUAUCAAAACACCAAAACUUAACACAAUUUGAUUAGAAUUGAUUGCAAGGGUCCUUAAUAUGUUAAUUGGGUUAAAAGUUGAUAACUACUACUCAAAAGUAUUUAAAAGAGUUUAUUACAAGCUAUCAAAUAGCACUUUUUGAGUAGUAAUCAGAAUGCAUUUUUUUUUCUUUCUAUUUCUAUCUUCUUCACUACACUUCUUCAUUGUCCCUUAUCAUAGAUGGUGCACACAUUGUCAUUGAAGUGAAGUUUGUACUCUUUACCACACAAAGAAAAUAUUGAUUUAAAGUUAAAACAAGCAGAAUAUCUCUAAUAUACUUGGUUCCUAUACUAGUUUGGAUACCAAUUAUGUCUUUUCCCUUUACAUGCACCAGAUUACCCUUUACCUAUUUUGACUUGUGAGUUAAUGGUUGUAUUCAUGUCAAGAAAAAUAUCUUUAUUACAAAACAUGUGGUUUGUGCAACCAAUGUCAACAAACCACAUAUUAUUCCUUUUCUCAAUAGUACUUAAACAAACAUAUUUUUUACCUUCUUUUUCUUCACAACUUGUUUUUUUAUCGUUCUAAGUCUACAAUUUUUUUUAACAAGCCUGAUUUUUUUUUUUUUUUAAUAUAACUAAAAAAUUAUGGCUUCCCUUUAAACCAACAAUCCUCUUCAACAUGAUUAUUUUUUUUUUCCAAAUAUUACAUUUUGGGAAUGCAUUAGUGAAUUUUCUUCCACUAUUGAAUCUUUCUCUACCUCUUCCAUUUCUUCCUCUACCAAUCUUGGAUUACAAAUAUUACAUUUUAGAAUGAAUUAGUGAAUUUUCUUUCACUGUUGAAUCUUUCUUUACCUCUUAUAUUUUUGUCUCUUUCUCUUUCUCAUUCAUUUCUACCAACUUUGGAUGAAUUGCUUUUAUUUUCAUUGCUUGUGAGUUUGUUUUCAACAUUUCUUAAGUUAAUGCUCAACUUGGACUAAAAUGCACUUCAAUUGAUUUUUCAUAAUGCCUCAAUAGUCCUUAUAAAUAAGUUUUCAAGGACCCAGACGGCUCAUGUAAGCUUAACAAAAAGAGGUCUUUUUAUUUCAACCAUAGCUAGAAUUUGGUCAAAUUUAUCAAGUAGGCUAAUUAAAAUUGUCUCAACAAGUCUUUUAUCACUAUUGUUUUUUCCACAAUAUGACUAAAUCUAAUUUACUAACUCCAUGAAUUUGUAAGAGAACUCAUUUAAAAUUUCAUUUUCCCUCGUGUUCAUAUUUUUAAGCUUUCUUCGUAAAGUUUGGAGCAUUACUGAUCAUGUUCUUCUAUUUCCUUGGAAGUCCUAUUGAUGGAUGUCUCAUGCUUUUUUAGCUUUGGAAGCUGUCAUAAUUCUUGGGAAAAUACUAUUAUCAACACCUUGUUGAAUAAAAAUAAAUAAAAAAUAAAAAAUAAAAAAGCAUUUGAAUCCAUUUUUCUCAACAAUUUUAACUGAUGAUCUUUUUCAAUUGGAGUCACUAUUAUUGCAUUUUUCAGGUUCACUCAAAGUUGUUUUCAACAAAAUGCCAAACAUCUUGAAACAUAAAUGAUAGUUUCAUGGUCACACACCAAAAAUCAUGGUUUUCCCCUUCAAAUAAUGGAAUAAAAGAAAAUUGAGAACUUAUACUUUAGUUACUUCUACUAGCCCCUGAUUUACUCUACAAAUCCUUGAUUUUUCUACUUCAAGGGUGAAGGUUCCUUGUUAUUUUUCCUUCUCAAAUAACAACCGAGUUGUUGAGCUCAUUAAUCAUAACUUUGAUUUUACACAAUCUUAUUGAACCACAACAAUACCGCCUUCCUCUCCUUCUCUUUCUUCUUGGGUUGAAGCAUUGAAAAACAAAAGGCAAUAGAGAGAGAACCACCUACUUAUACCUUAUUUCCUUAUACAAAAUCCUUUUAUAUUUACUACUUCUCUCCUCCACCAAACCCUAGCUUCAUUGCCAAGGAUUCCGGUCUUUAGGAAGAAAAGAAAACUUAGAAUUCCCCCUCUCUGAUAUAAUAUGUGUUUAUCAAGAUUCCAUAAAUAAGGAGCGUUCUACUAGAGACAAAAGACAAGAAGAAUGCUUGGAGAAAGAAGAGAAAGUAUGAGUUUGGGAGAAAACCUACAAAGACAAAGCUAUCCAACAACAAAACAAUUCGAAGAGUUAGAGUAAAAUAUGGAAAUGUAAAAUUGUUAGCUUAGAUUCAACUUUUGUUGUUUAUUAUUUCAACAAAAAACAUGGGAUAAAAAUUGAAAAUAAAAAGGAUAUUUAAAAACGCAAGACUCAACUUGAUCUUUUUUUUAUUUUAUAUAUGAAAUGAGACUAAAAGGUAUAAUAACUACAAAUACAUUGAAAAAUGAGCCACACUAAUCUUCAAAACUAAACUUUCUAACAUCUUUAAGAAAAUUUGACCACCAAAUAAUUAAUUCUAAAUUAUAAAUACUUUUCAUAACUAAGCAAUCUAUUAUUCUAUUUGCUUCCUUAUAAAUAUAAUGACAAUUAUAAAUAUAUAGAUCUUGAGAUAACUUCCAAAUAUCUUCUAUUAAUAACAUAAUAGAACUAGGAAUAUUACUCUUUUUAUAUGAGUGACACAUUAUGUAACAUUUUCUUUGUGAUGUUUUUAGCAUUAAUUUCACUUUUGUUUAAUAGGUAGGAAUGGGAAGUGCAUUAGACACCUUCUGCGGUCAGUCAUUUGGAGCAAAACAAUAUCAUAUGCUUGGUGUACACAAGCAAAGAGCCAUGGUUGUGCUUCUAUUGGUUAGCAUUCCUGUUGCUUUUAUUUGGAAUAAUACUGGCCAUAUUCUUGCAUCAUUGGGACAAGAUCCAGAAAUAUCAGUUGAAGCCGGACUUUAUGCUCACUUUAUGAUACCUAGCAUUUUCGCUAUUGCGCUCCUACAAUGUCAUAUUAGAUUCUUACAAGCUCAAAACAAUGUAGUUCCCAUGAUGAUAACCACAGGAUUCACAACUCUACUCCACACCCUCACUUGUUGGAUGUUGGUUUUCAAAUCAGGGUUGGGAAACAAAGGGGCUGCCCUUGCAAAUGCCAUCUCUUAUUGGAUUAAUGUCCUCUUGUUAGCAAUUUAUGUCAGGAUCUCCCCUUCCUGCAAGAAAACAUGGACGGGUUUUUCAAAGGAGGCAUUGCAUGAUGUGCUAAAGUUUCUCAAAUUAGCUAUUCCUUCAGCUAUAAUGCUAUGGUAAUAUCUUUGGGUGACCUUUCACUUCAAUAGUACAUUUUUUGUGUGUAUUAGAAAUAUUGGUAGAUAUCAUGUAGUUUUAUUUGUCUGGUGUCUUGGAACAGCUUGGAAAUCUGGUCAUUCGAAAUGAUGGUAUUGUUAUCUGGUCUGCUUCCUAAUCCAAAGCUAGAGACAUCAGUUCUAUCAAUCAGGUACCAUAUCCCAUGCUUAUGCACUUGAAAUAAACAUAAACCUUUAAUAACCUUUGAGAAUUCCUUAAAGAUUACUAAAACUAGUUACAUAUUACUAAUGGAUUAUGUGCAUUUCAUCACAGCCUUAACACAUAUACAGUACUUUAUAUGAUACCCCUUGGACUUAGUGGCGCAACAAGGUACUUUUUAGUCAUUAGUUUAAUGGUUGUAGCUCCUGAAAAUCAACAUGUCUCUUGAAUCAUUCUUCUUUCCAUUUUUCUUUUUAGUAUAAGAGUUUCAAACGAAUUAGGGGCUGGACGACCACAAGCAGCACUUUUAGCCGUGUAUGUUGCAUUAUUCAUGGUCGCCAUAGAAGGCAUUUUGGUAGCCACAGCCCUGAUCUUAGGACAUAGCUUCUGGGGCUAUUCUUACAGUAGUGAAGAAAAAGUAGUGAACUAUGUUGGAGAAAUGAUGUUCUUGCUUGCAGGAUCCCACUUUAUAGAUGGCAUUCAAUCAGUGCUUUCAGGUAUGUGCCAAUUUGCAAUAUGUACUUUUAAUCUUUAAUUUGAUUAUUCAUGACAACUGAAAUUUCUAUACUAAUUUGUUUAUACUAAACCUAUAUCCAUGAAAAGAUGAAAAUUAAUAAAAAAUAUAUACAGCCCAGUGUUAGAUAUAGAAAUUAUCUUCCUAAAGUAUAGUCCUAAGCUGCCUGCAUGAAAUAUGAUCUGAAUUCACAAAUAUAUAUUGGUAGUUCCCACUUUUUGGCUCUAAGCAUUUAUUUCUUACUAAAGUUGUUAUCAAUAAGUAAUGAUAGCACACUUACCCUAUCAUCUAAAGAAAGGUUAAUCAACACUUUAAUCAAUUGAGCGACUCUAAUAAUAUUUUCCAGGCGUGGUUAGAGGAAGUGGCAAGCAAAAGAUUGGGGCUUUGGUUAACCUAGGAGCCUAUUAUCUUGCUGGAAUUCCAUCUGGUGCAUUAUUAGCUUUCGUCUAUCAUAUUGGAGGAAAGGUAACUCUUACUCUAUAUUUAAUCUUUCUCCCCGCUUCACAUAUUUCGUUCUAGUUUAUAUGCUCCAAGAAAAAGAAAAAUUAACCCAUUUGUAUAUCUACUUGGUUCACAGGGACUCUGGACAGGAAUUAUAGUUUCACUCUUCAUGCAGGCAUUAUUUCUUGCAAUCAUAAUUCUUUGCACUAAUUGGGAGAAAGAAGUAUGGUUCUUUCAUCGAUGUUUGUGUAUGUAUGAGAAUUUUCUUGUUGAAUUCACUAAUGCUCUAUUUCAUCUCUUUCUUUUGUAGGCAAAGAAGGCUACGGAUAGAGUGUAUGACUCAAUGGUCCCUGUGAAUGCAAUAUCAUCGAGUUGACAUUGAAGUAAUAUUUCUUUCUAACUAGAUCUAUAAAAAUUAUGCUCAAUCUUGUUUGAUAAUUUAUAAUAAUAAAGGUAAUUUAUGACUAUAAAAUAAUUUGCUUUGAACAUGUAAGCCCUACCAAUUUGGAAUAGCUCAUGGUUGUUCUGUCUAGUGUUCUGGGAUUGUUCAUUUCCACUAAUGUAAUCUUAUAAGGUUAAUUUUGAUCAAGCAAUACAUUAAUACUUAAAACCAAGGGUGUAUUGUAGCCCUCAUACUACAAUAGGUAUAUUGAAAUGACCUCAUUUUUGCAUCUGUUGGUUCUCAUUACUAUCUGUAUGACUACAUUGUCUUGUACCAUACACCCAAUUUCCAUUAAUCCUAUCUAAACCUACUUGUUCAAAGCUUGGAACUAAGUGACUUAAACAUGUACACAAUCCGCUGGAGACAGCUAGAGUCCCAAGCCAUAGCAGAUCUCCCAGCUGAUUUCACUGUAGUAAUAGAAAGAACAUCCAGGGAUCGCAUACCUAUGGUGUUGAGGUGAAGGAUGGAGAGGCAAAGGCCAACGGACACUAUUGAUAGAUGGGUCCUCUAUCAGGGUUGGGGGUGAGUAGAUCAUAGGUUACUUAUUUCUGAAAAUGCUUUAUUGAAUAUGUUCUUGAAGGCUUGUAAUAAACUAAAGACAAAUAAAUAUCAACACUGUCAGUAUAGUGCAUUGCUUCCAUUAAAGCUAAAAAUUAUGUUUUAAUUUGGCUUUUCAAAUUAUUUUGUAACAACUUGAAACACAGUUGGUAACAAGGCAUUUUGAAAAGAAGAGAAUAUAUUAUGAUUUAGUAAUAGUCCAAGAAUCUAGUGACAAAGUGAUAAACCCCAACUAAUAUUAAAAGGUGAAGGAUCGUAUAUAUUACAUUUCUUACAAGGACCCACUAGUUCUAUCUUCUUUCACUUCACUGGUAGAAUCUCUACUUAUUCCCCAACAAAGUGUGGUGGUCUUAGAAUUAAUUUAUUUUUCCAUCAUCCAAAAUGGGGUUCUCUUGUAAAGCUAAAGAAUCAAAUUUUAUUUGGAGAAUAAUGUCCCUUUUCUCCUAUGUGUAUUUUAACCAAACAAAACUAUGAUAUAAUGGAAAAAUAAAUAAAUAAAUAUUAAUUUUUUCCACUUUUUUCUUUAUAAUCAUAAAUUUAAAAUAAAAUGAGUAUUGAGAUUAUCAUAAAAUUAUCUCAUUAAUUUUCUUUUCAGACACUAUUACAAAUAUAUUAAUAAAGUAUUAAAUUCUGAUUCUAUAUAUAUAUAUAUAUUUUCAAUUUCCUUUCAUAAAAAAAUUAGUAAAUAUCUCACCUUACAAGAUUGAGAACCAUAUUUUAAAUUUUAAUUAGUGGAAAAAUAGUAGGAACCCACUAAUAAUAUCUAUCCACAAAGCACCGGAAUAAAAAAUAAAACCUGUUAGGGGCCAUUUAUAAAUUAUAAUCCCAUGAAAGGUGCCCUUUCGCCCAUGGAAAAGGUAGAAGAAGGACCCUUUGUGCCGUUAAUUCAAUUACAUGGGCUCCCAAAGAAGCUAAAAAAGGGCUAAGGGUUCAGACAAGCAUCACAUCAAAUGAACAUCAUCAGUGGCAAAAGCUUGGUGUUUUCUUAAAUGGCCACCCUUUUUUAAUAUAUAUAUAUAUAUAUAACAUAAUUUAGAAUAAAUAAAUUCCUCAUUAGACAACAUUUUAGAGUGGCUGUGUGAAUGGAGUUGUUUCUUUCGAAACCUGAAUGUGGCCAGCUUAACAACAUUUGUAAUGAGACCCUUGGGUCCAUCUGGGUUAAGCCCAAAAAGUUUAGAGAAAUAGAGGCCCACGACCCAACCUUAGAGCUUGAUGAUUCAGUAUUCUUGAGAAUUUUGAUACAACAUAUUUGGUAGUUUUGGCAAUUAUUUUUAAAGUAAAGUAUUUUCUAGUUUUUAUUUCCAUAAUCAAAAUUGUUAGAAAGGGGGAAAAUAAUUUUCAAAAAAAUCAAUCUCCUUUUUUUUUUUUUUUUCAUUAGAAGUUCUUUUUUCUUUUUUUUUUUUUAUAAAAAAAAAAUAAAUAAAAUAUAAUUAUUUUUUGGGAAGGGUUAGAUCUUAGAACAAGUUUUUCCGUACUUCCCUUGCUUUUCUCCCUCAAGUUUCCCGAGAAACAAAAGCUUAUCGUCUUUCAAAGAAAAAUAUUAAAAACAAUCUCAAAAUCUUUAUCACAGAUCCAAGAAAACCGAAGCUGGGCAUGGUAGUCGUUAAGAUGCUUUAACAUUUCCAAAUUUUUCCUAGAAAGAGAGCCAAACAGAGGGAACCGCAAAGAAACAACCAAGUUCUUUCUACAUAUUAUCAGCUCUUGUAUUCCAAUCAUUCUUCACUGUACACCACAAGAGAACCUAUCAUCAACCGAGAACAAGAGAGACAGAGAAAAGAGUGAACACAGGUCCAACCACAACCUCUCAACAACUGCUUCCUCCUCUACUGCAGCUCUCGUCUAUCCCUGGGAAACGAAACCAAAAUCACUUCUAAACCAACCUCUUAUGAUAGAAAGCCUGCUAAAUAGUACUUUAAUCGCAUAGUAAUCAUAGAAGGACUUGAUGGUAGUCUUUUCAUACUCUUGUUUCCAUGACAAACAUGGCCUUUACUAUUCUUGGAAACAAUCCAGAGAGAUCAGGGAUUGAACAAUUUGGAAUGAUAAUACUUGGAGAUGGUGGAUUCUUUUGGGUUCUAUUCCUGAGAGUGGGCACAUUCCCAAGCAUGUAAAACAUUCCUUCUUUCUUUAUAUUCUAUGGUUGUUCCCCCUCAAUUUUCAUUUUUUUUGUUUAAGCCCAUGGUUCAUUGUUGGGCUUCUUUUUGUUAAAAUUAUUAUGCUUUCUUCAUCUUUUCUUUCUGAAGUUAUUAGCCUUCAUUUAUUUUGCUUUUGUUGAAAAGUUAGGAAUGGGAAGCGCAUUAGAUACCUUCUGCGGUCAGUCAUUUGGAGCAAAACAAUAUCAUAUGCUUGGUAUACAUAAGCAAAGAGCCAUGGUUGUGCUUCUAUUGGUUAGCAUUCCUGUUGCUUUUAUUUGGAGCAAUACAGGCUAUAUUCUUGCAUCAUUGGGACAAGAUCCAGAAAUAUCAGCUGAAGCCGGACUUUAUGCUCAUUUUAUGAUACCUAGCAUUUUCGGUUUUACACUUCUACAAUGUCAUAUUAGAUUCUUACAAGCUCAGAACAAUGUAGUUCCCAUGAUGAUUAUUAGAGAAUUCAUUACAAUAGAUUUUCUUUCUAUUUUUAAAUUCUUCUAAUUAGUUGUAAUUUCCUAUUUUUGUGUUUUGGGCUAAUUCUAGGAUUGUUUCCUAUUUUUGUGUUUUGGGUAGAUUAUUUUCUAUUUUUGUGUUUCAGGUUUGUGUAUAUAUAUUCAUUCUUAAUCAAUGAAAAAGUUAAGCCAUUGUUUCUCAAUAAUCCUCUCUCUACUUCAACAUGGUAUCAGAGCCUAAUCUUCUUGGGCGUAUUUUCUUUUUCUUUUUUUCCUUCUCCUCAAUGGCUUCACUCUCAAGAUCCUCACCAUCCCCUCCUUACAAUCAAUCUCUCCAAUAUCACCAAAUUGUCAUCCACCAAUUAUCUCACAUGGAGCCUUCAAAUUCAAUCUCUUCUUGAAGGUUAUGAUUUUCAUCACUUCAUUGAUGGCGCUCAUACUCCACCACCACCCACCAUCACCAUCACUGGUGUUGCAUCCCCAAAUCCAACAUACACAACCUGGAAGUGUCAGGAUCGUCUCAUCUUUAGCGCUCUCCUUGGUGCUAUCUCCGUUUCAGUACAACUACUUAUUGCCUGCACCACCACUUCCCUUGAUGCAUGGCAAACCUUAGCCAAUACUUAUGUCAAACCAUGUUGUGGUCAUAUUAAACAAUUGAAGGAACAAUUACAGCGAUGUACCAAGGGCUCUCUAACUUAUUGGACUUACGCCUUUGCCACUGCUGUAUAUCUCAUCAACCGUAUGCCCACACCCACACUACAUCUCUCAUCUCCUUUUGACAAACUCUUUCAGUCUCCACCCAACUACACUAAACUUCGGGUGUUUAGUUGCUUAUGUUAUCCAUGGUUUCGUCCUUAUUCUCAGCAUAAACUUGACUCUUGUUCCACUCCUUGUGUUUUUCUUGGUUACUCUUCAACACAAAGUGCCUAUAUUGUUCAUCUUGGUCGUCAUCCAAUUUCCUUAGCAGAUCAACUUGUCGACGCUCUUACUGAACCACUUCCACGAAGCCACUUCCAAGAAUUACAGGUCAAGAUUGGCGUCUCCUCUGGAGCUCCAUCUUGAGGGGGCAUAUUAGAGAAUUCAUUACAAUAGAUUUUCUUUCUAUUUUUAAAUUCUUUUAAUUAGUUGUAAUUUCCUAUUUUUGUGUUUUGGGCUAAUUCUAGGAUUGUUUCCUAUUUUUGUGUUUUGAGUAGAUUUUUUUCUAUUUUUGUGUUUUAGGUUUGUGUAUAUAUAUUCGUUCUUAAUCAAUGAAAAAGUUAAGCCAUUGUUUCUUAAUAAUCCUCUUUCUACUUCAACAAUGAUAACCACAGGAUUCACAACUCUACUCCAUAUCCUCACUUGUUGAAUACACUUCUUUAAAUCGGGGCUUCGAAACAAAGGGGCUGCACUUGCAAAUGCCAUAUUUUAUUGGAUCAAUGUCUUGUUGUUAGCGAUUUAUGUCAGGAUCUCCCCUUCUUGCAAGAAAACUUGGAUAGGUUUUUCAAGGGAAGCAAUGCAUGAUGUUCCAAAGUUUCUGAGACUAGCUAUUCCUUCGGCUGUGAUGAUAUGGUAUCUCCAGGUUCACUUCAACAAUAAAAUUGUUGUGUGUAUUUGAAAUGUUAUAUUAAAUAUUAUAUAUAUCUUGUAGUUUCAUUUGUCUAGUGUAUCUUGAAACAACUUGGAAAUCUGGUCAUUUGAAAUGAUGGUACCGUUAUUUGGUCUUCUUCCUAAUCCAAAGCUUGAGACAUCAGCUCUAUCAAUCAGGUACCAUAUCCUAUACCUGUACCCCUCAAAUAAGUUUAAAGCCUUAAUAACAUAUGAAAACUCCUUAAAGAUCAAUAAAAAAAAGUUACAUAUUACUAAUGGAUUAUAUAUUUUAAUGUUACAGCCUCAUAUGUUCAGUAAUUUACAUGAUACCCCUUGGAUUUAGUGGUGCAAUAAGGUAUGAUUUAUUUAGUAUAAUAAUUGCAGCUCCUGCAAAUGCAACAUGUUGCUUAAAUUAUUCUUCUUUUCAUUUUCCCCUUCAGUGUAAGAGUUUCCAACGAAUUAGGGGCUGGACGACCACAAUCAACACUUUUAGCAAUAUAGGUUGUGUUAUUCAUGGUCACUAUAGAAGACGUUUUGGUAGCCACAAUCCUGAUCUUAGGGCAUAAAUUUUGGGGCUAUUCUUAUAGUAAUGAAGAAAAAGUAGUGAAAUAUGUUGGAGAAAUUAUGGUGUUGCUUGCAAUAUCCCACUUUUGGGAUGGUAUUCAAUCAGUGCUUUCAGGUUUAUAACAAUUUGUAAUAUGUACUUACAAUCUAUCAAUUUGAUCAUUCAUGUGAUAACUGAAAUUUCUAUACUAAUUUGUUUAUGCUAAACCUAUAUUUAUGUGAAAAGAUGAAAAUUCAUCAUAUAUGUAUAGCUCAGUGUUAGAUAUGAAAAUUAUCUUUCUAAUGUAUAGUCUUACUGUCAGCCCCUUAGCCUCAUGACCCAAUGUUGAAGGAAGGGGCCUCAUGGGUAGGCCUUGCACCUAUGGGAGCCUAGACAAAGAGCAAUGAUAGCCUGGAGGUUUGGUGGUUUAAACCCCAGGAGUUAAAAUGAGGAGGUCAUAUGUGAGCUAGACAUGCACCACGACCGAGCUAGACACACACCACCCGUGUAUCGUAGGCGAGCCAGACACGCACUGCGUGCACACCAAACGAGCACCCCACGCGCGCCUGUCAUAUGUUGACUGUGGAGUUGGUGCAGAUGGAAUGUGAGGUUUAUUUUGGAAUAUAAUUUAUAAUUAUUUAAAUAUUCUAUUAUGUCUUCUCAAGCAUGUAUGAUGUCUCCUCCAGACAUCUUGAGAAUGACCCGUAUUGCUCUUUAAAGAGAAGGAUUGGGUGACUCAAGGGGACACCAAGGGAAGGCCUUGACCAAACCAAGGGGGCACCAUGGCAUGACCUUGGGCGUGUCUAGGACACACGAACAACACCCAAGCACGUACACAUAGGCUCCAUGACAUGUGUGGUGUACACACUGUGGCCGCAAUGGCACAGGGCCUGGUGUGACCUACCUUUUCCCUAUGCUGACACGAAGGCGCUUAAGCUUUAUGUAGCGAGCCAACUAGAGAAGCCAUGGGCGCAAUGCCAUGGUUCAAUGGGGCACUAGACAUGCAGUUGACUCGAGCUCAUGAGAACUAAUGAUUACUACUCAAAAACCACACAUUUUAAAGAAUAAUUCUCACGAGUUUUACAUCUUUUGAGUAGUAAUUAUGCCUAAAACACUCAAUUAACAUGUUUUUGCCCUUGUAAGAGUUACUAACAAGUUUUAUGAAGUUUUGGAGUCAUUUCAAGGUAUGAUUUUGAUAAAUUGGUGACAAAAGAGAUGAAUCAAAUUGAAGAAAACAAAUAAAGUUGAUGAUAAUCCAAAUGCACAAUGAAAGAAGUAAUGCAAUUGGUUUGGACCGGGAUUUGGAGUUGAUUUGAAGGUAGUUGGAGUGGAAUCAAGAGAAAGAAAUGGAGGAAAUGACAAAAAGGAGUUAAAAAAAACUAUGUUUUUCAAUUUCACGUGAACAUGUGAAAAAUUCGCACAAACGUGCGAAAUAGACUAGGAGGGGAUUUUGACUGCAGCUCAAAGGGGAGAAGUGAAAACUGAUUUCACAUGACCAUGUGAAAAUUUUGCACAGUCAUGUGAAAUGCUUUAGGAAGACGAAAAUGAUGUUGAUGAACUUUCCACUUCGCACAAUCGUGCGAAAUUGUUGGAGCUCGUGCGAAAUUGUAUUUUUUCUAGAUUUCUUAGUGAAAAAGCCUCUGAAAGACCUCUUAGAUGAUGCCAAGUGUCUACUUGACCUUGACCUAUAAAUAGAAACUUGAUUUACUCAUUUAAGGACUUUUUACAUUUUUCUAAUUGUAGAACUUUCCAGAUUUUCUCUCUCUAUGGAAUUCUCUACUUUCCUUCAUUUUAUCUCAUUUUCUCAUUAGUCAAACAUGCCUUAUGAGAUCAAAUCUCCAAGCAUGAGUGGCUAAAUCUCAUUUUUCUCGGAAGAGGAAGGAUCCAGAGGCAAGAUCUAUGGUGAAUUAGAAAAAUGAACUUGAAUUGCAAAGGUAAUUUGAUCCAAUUGAUUGAUUAAUUAAAAUUUGGGGAUUUUUCUCUUCAAAUUCUCUUGGAUGAUUACUACAAUGCAAGCUAGGUAGAUUCAUCAAAUUCUUAAUGCUAGAUUUGAUGAGAUUGAAUAGUUGCAUUGUGUGAAUCAUUGGAAGAUAAUUUAAGAUGGAUUGAAUAUAUGAUUUGAAUUGAUCUCUUGGAUAAGAUGACCUGAUUUGAAGAGAAAUUAGAUAUAAACUUAAAGCUAAAUAAAAAAUCGGUUUAGAUGAAAAUUUAGGUUUUCAAUCUAACUUGAUGAAAAUUAGAUCUCAACAUCUAUUCACCAUAGAAAUUGCUUUCUAGAAAAUCCUUACUUCGAGAAUUUCAUUUUCUAUUAAUUUUCUUAUAUUUUACAUUUCAUUUUCCUCUCAAUUUGGAAUCAUUGUCAUUUUGAAUUGUAAUCAUGAAUUGUCAAAUCAUUUUCACUUAAUCUCAAUCAUUUCUUCUCAUCUCAUUCAAGCCUUGAUUACCAAGAAUAAUCCAUAUUUGUGGACGAUACAUAAAACCCACUAUACUAUAGUAGUUUGUACUAAAACCACUUUUUGAUCGGGUACAAAUUGUUAUAGAAUAGUGAAUUAGGUUAUAAAUUUUGUUUCGAUCCAAUAAACGACGAAAAUCCGAGCGAUCAACUAUGCAUGGCAUAUGGGCGCAAUGCCUUGUGCACUAGGAAUAAACAGCCAUGAGCACAAUGCCAUGGCUUGUUGCUGUGGAGCUUGACCUGAUAGUGGGAGCUAGUCACAUACCUAAGCCAUGGGCACCUUAACAUGGCUUGGACUCAUACAUGAGUGUGGGGAAGGCACACUAAUGCACUAGACACCUGGUCAGCUAGUUGGUGCAUGCUACUGGUUUAGAUGACAACAAACUAGUGGCAACAAGUGAGUGAUUAGGACAGCAUUUAGCUACAAGGGACUGGCAGAUGGUUCUGGUGUUGAUGGCUGGUGCGAAGAGACACCUUGAGCUGAAGAAGUGUCUCCAGUUGGGAGGUUAUGCAAGCAGUUCCUCCAACUGGGUGGUUAUGCAAGCAGUUGUGGCAGUUGUGGUGAUUGUAGCAGUUGCAUAACCACCAGUAACCUCCCUAGUUUUGAAAUUCAAAUUGUAAACUGCAAGCUGAGUCUUUUAAAAAGGGCCUCCUGCAUUUCUUAGAUAGAGCAUGAGAGUAUGAGACUGCCUUUGAAUACUUAAGGGUUCUAAGCAUUGUACUCUGACUCAAGUCAAAUGUUGACACUUUGGGAAAACAAUUUUGUAUCUUGUAGAGUUGAAUAAUACAAGUUGGGAAGGGUGUUCUUGUAAUCAUGUGGUUGCCUAUUACUUUGUUUUUCUAAGGGUUGGGAAGAAAGGUUGGCUAAGGAAGGGUCCUUAGUACCACACACUCGAUGAAAAAAAAAAUUGGGUUGAUAUUCAAGGGUGUGACAAGUAGUAUCAAAGCCUGCACCAAAGAUGAUUGGUGGUAGUGCAAUGGAAGCCUUGUGGGAAAGGAUUGCUCGGAUGGAAGAAAUGUUAGGAGAAUGGCCAUGUGAGAAUGGCACCGUGGCUUCAUGGGAAAAACACAUUGUGGGAGAAAUUCAAGUGCAGAGGAGUUUGCUGGAGAUCUAUGAAAAAUUCUUUGAGGAUAAAUUUGUUGGCUUGAAAGUAGAAAUUCAGUCCCUGAUAGAUGACUUCAAGGGCUUCCUGCAGUCUUAUGGAGAAGAAAUUGCAGUCCUCAAGAAGGUUGUGUUGUAGGAAUGCUCCUCAGGCCUUAAAGCCCCUCCCAAAGUCCGGGUCCCAGAGCCUAAGGGCUCCAAUGGUAAUAGGAAUGUGAAGGAGUUUGAGAAUUUCUUAUGGGACAUGGAGCAGUUCUUUAGGGUUGCUCAUGUUCCUGAUGGCGAGAAAGUGUCCAUUACCAGUAUGUAUUUGACUAGUGAUGCCAAAUUGUGGUGGUGAACAAGAAUGGAGGAUGAUGCAAAGUCUAGAAGGCCCCAAAUCAUCACUUGGGAAACUCUGAAAAAGGAAUUAAAAAAUCAAUUCCUCCAUACCAACAUUGCUUGGGUGGCCAGGGAAUCAUUGAAAAUGCUUAGACACAUCGGAUUAGUGACGGACUAUGUCAAGGAAUUUAGUUCCUUGAUGUUGGACAUGAAGAACAUGUUAAAGAAGGACAAGCUUUUUAAUUUCAUGUUUGGACUGCAAUAGUGGGCUGAGAUGGAACUUAGGAGACAAGGGGUCCGUGAUCUCCCUACUACCAUGACUAUAGUAGAUUGCUUGGUGGAUUACAAGAUGGGUGGCGCCAUCUCCACCAUGCAGAAAACAAAGUCAGAAGGGAGUAAGAAGGCUAAGGCUAAGGGUAAGACUUCUGAGAAGGCGGGAUGGAAGAAAUAGAACAAGAAGGGUGCUGCAGGGGUAAAACUAGUGGAGAAUACCACAAAAUUUGUGCAAUAGUCCACCCGAAUGGUAGGGUGCUUCAUUUGCAAUAGCCCACACCUAGCCAGAGACUGCCCUAAAAGAGAAAAACUCUCGACCCUUGUGAAUGCAGACGACAAGGAAGAAUCUGACUCAGAGACCCUUCCUGUAGUUAACCCAUUGCAACUCCUAAAUGUAAUUCAUGGUGAGACCCUAGUCCAAAAGUCCCUAAUGCAUGUUCAUGUGGUUGUAAAUUGUGUGCAGGUGAAGACUUUGGUGGACAGUGGUGCCACUCAUAAUUUCGUGGCCACCAAAGAGGCAAACAAGUUGGGAUUGAAGUUAGAAAAUGAUACCAGUCGGAUCAAGGCAGCCAAUAGUAAAGCCCAGAAGAUCUAAGGGGUAGCCAAGAAUGUUCUCAUGCAAGUUGGUGACGGGAAAGGCACGUGUAGCCUACUUUGUGUGCCCUUGGAUGACUUCGAUUUGAUCCUUGGUGUAUACUUCCUCUUGAAGGCUAAGGUGGCCUUGAUCCUAUAUUUGGGUGGAUUGGUAGUGUUGGAAGAAAGACAACCCUGUUUCGUGCAGGCCUUGAGGGCAAAGGAUGGUGGUAAGGGUCAACAUAAGAUGUUUUCCGCUAUUCAGUUAAAGAAGGAAUUGAAGCAGGGCUAGGAUACUUAUGUUGCAGCCUUGAUCGAGAUUAAGGAAUGACAGUUUGUGGAAGUCCCUGAUUUAGUGGUCAAAAUUUUGAAAGAGUUUAGAGAUGUGAUGCCUGCACAACUCCCCAAGAAAUUGCCACCCCGACGACCUAUUGACCGUAAGAUUGAAUUGUUGCCUAGAACAAAGCCCCCAACUCAAGCCCCUUACAGGAUGUCUCCUGCAGAAUUGUUGGAGCUACGCAAAUAGUUGAGGUAAUUAUUGGAUACAGGCCUGAUCCAACCCUCAAGGGCUCCAUAUGGUGCACCAGUGUUGUUCCAAAAGAAGCAUGAUGCCUCUCUACGCAUGUGUGUGGAUUAUAGGGCUCUCAACAAGGUGACCAUAAAGAACAAAUACCCAAUCCCCUUGGUAGCAGAACUGUUUGACAGAUUGUUAAAGGCCUCUUAUUUCACCAAGUUGGACUUGAGAUCAGGCUAUUGGCAAGUGCGGAUUGUAGCAGGAGAUGAAGGGAAGACCACUUGUGUAACUCGGUAUGGUUCAUACGAGUUUCUAGUAAUGCCCUUUGGGCUAACUAAUGCCCCUUCUACUUUUUUCAAUUUAAUGAAUGAUGUCUUGUUUGAUUACUUGGAUGCAUUUGUGGUAGUAUAUCUAGAUGAUAUUGUGGUAUACAACCAAACUCUAACAGAACAUGAAAGACAUUUGAGAUUGGUGUUCCAACGACUGAGUGAGCACAGACUUUAUGUAAAGCCAGAGAAAUGUGAGUUUGCUUAGAAGGAUAUCACAUUUCUUGGACACAAGAUCAAUGUAGGCCUGAUCAAGAUGGAUGAAGGCAAGGUGCAAGUUAUUAAGAAGUGGCCAGUCCCUAGCAAAGUUACGGAGUUGCGGUCCUUCCUCGGCUUGGCCAACUACUACAGAAAGUUCAUUAAGGGGUAUUAAAAAAUGGUGUCUCCCCUUACUGACCUAUUGAAGAAGGACAACCAGUGAGACUGGAGCAUGCAGUGUCAGAUGGCUUUUGAAGGCUUGAAGGAAGCUAUCUCCACUAAGCCUGUGCUGCAUUUGCCAGACUUGAACUUACCCUUUGAAGUCCAGACGGAUGCCUCAGAUAGGGCUUUGGGUGGGGUCCUAGUGCAAGAAGGGCACCUUGUGGCGUUUGAAAGUAGGAAAUUGAAUAAUGCUAAGCAGAAAUACUCCACUCUUGAGAAAGAAAUGACAGUUGUGGUUCAUUGCUUGCAACAGUAGAGACAUUACUUGUUGGGGAGUAUAUUCAUAGUGAUUACUGAUAAUGUGGCCAACACCUUCUUCAAAACUCAAAAGAAGUUGAGUCUCAGACAGACCUAAUGGUAGGAGUUCAUGGUCGACUUCCAGUUUGAAUGGUUGCAUCGACCAGGAAGACAUAACAUAGGGGUUGAUGUCCUGAGUAGAAAAGAGGUGAUUACCUAUAUUUCGGCCUUCUCAUAAGUCAUCUCUAACUUUAAUGAGAGAAUCAAGCAGGCUGCAGAGCAUGAUGUUGCAUAUGGUAGGCUGAAACAAAAAGUUAAGGGGGGUAUGAUUAGGAGGUAUUGGCUAGAGGGAGACCUCCUUAUGAAAAAAGGAAAAAGAUGGUAUGUUCCUACAAGCGGCUUGAGAAGGGAACUGUUGCGGGAGACUCAUGAUGCAAAGUGGGCAAGCCAUUCCGGUGAAAAGAGAACCCUAGCAUUGCUGGCCAAAUCCUAUUAUUGGCCAAAGAUUGGUGAGGAUGUGCAGGCGUAUGUGAAAAUCCUGUCUGAUUUGUCAGAUGGACAAGACCGAAAGGAAAAAGGCUGCAGGGUUGCAGCAACCCCUCCCCUUUCUAGAAAAACCUUGGGAGAGCAUUCCAUGGAUUUUAUCACCGGAUUUCCAAAGGUUCAUGACUUCAAAUCUAUCUUUGUUAUUGUAGAUAGAUUUUCUAAGUAUUCUGUGUUUAUACCUGCUCCUAAUGCAUGCCCUACGGAGGAAGCGACUAGGCUAUUCUUCAACCAUGUUUUAAAACACUUUGGGUUGCCUCAAGACAGUGAGUGAUUGGGAUGCACGGUUCACAAGCCGAUUUUAGGUGGAAUUGUUCAAACUCUUGGGUUCAGGGUUGAAGUUUUCCACAACCAAUCUUCCUUAAAUUGAUGGGCAGACAAAGAGGAUCAAUGCCUUACUAGAGGAAUACCUCAAGCACUAUGUGACAGCACACACAAAAGAACUUGGUUGAUUUGCUGGACACUGCCCAAUUGUGUUAUAAUCUGUAGAGGAGCUCAGCAACAGGGAUGAGUCCCUUUGAACUGGCUAUCGGGGUGCAACCAAGGAUGCCUUUGGAAGUGGCUAAGCAAAAGACAUGAGGAAAUAGUCCUGCAGCAUAUAAGAUGGCUCGAUCCGAAUAGGAGAUGUUUGAUGAGGCCCGAGACAAUCUAGAGAAGGCAACCAGAUGGAUGAAGAAGUAUGCAGACCGUGAUCGACGACCCUUGGAAUUUCAGGUUGGGAACAAGGUCCUCCUGAAGUUGACUCCUCAUAUAUGGAAGAAAAUCAGUAGCAACACAAGGCAAAGGGGUCUAAUUCCCAAGUAUGAUGGAUUAUUUGAGGCAAUAAAACGAGUGGGAUAGGUGGCCUACAUGUUGAAGCUGCCUAAGAGACUCAAGCUUUACCCGACUUUCCAUGUCAGUUUUCUGAAGCCUUACCAUGAGGAUCUGGAUGAAAAGAAGGUGUAGACAAAGCGGGUUCCUCCAUUGGUCAUGAAGCAAUUUGACCAAAAGAUGGAGAAGAUCUUGGAUCAUAGGACCAUGGGACAUAGCAAAAAGAACCGACGAACUGAUUUCUUGGUUAAGUGAAAAGGGACUUCGGAAGUAGAAACUACAUGAAAAAAUGAUGUUACCUUGUGGCAGUUUGAAGUGGCGGUCCGGGCAUACUGGCAGACUAAGUCGACGAGGGCGUCAACUUCAGUAGGCGGGGGUGGGUUUGUCAACCCCUUAGCCUCAUGACCCAAUGUUGGAGGAAAGGACCUCAUGGGUAGGCCUUGCACCUAUGGGAGCCUAGAUGGAGAGCAAGGAUGGCUUGAGGGUUUGGUGGUUCAAACCCUAAGAGUUAAAAUGAGGAGGUCAUGUGUGAGCCAAACACGCACCAUGGGCGAGCUAGACAUGCAAGCACGCACACUGUGGGCGAGCCAGACACGCACCGCGGGCGAGCUAGACACGCACCACGAACAAGCUAAACAGGCACCACAUGCGCACCAUGGACGAGCCAGAUAGGCACCGCGUAUGCACCGCAUGCACACCAGAUGGGCAUCGCUUGCGCACGAGGCAUAUGUUGACUAUGGAGUUAGUGUAGAUGAAUGGUGAGGUUUAUUUUGGAAUAUAAUUUAUAAUUAUUUAAAUAUUCCAUUAUGUCUCCUCAAGCAUGUAUGAUGUCUCCUCUAAACAUCUUGAGAAUGGCUUAUAUUGCUCUUUAAGAAGGGGGAGGGGAGGGAGGGUAGGUGAUUCAAGGGGGCACCAUGGCAUGACACUCAAGCACGCACAUGUGGGCUCCACGACAUGUGUGGUGUGUACCCUAUGGCCAGAACGACACGGGGCCUGGUAUGGCCUACCUCCUCCCCACGUUGGCACGAGAAUGCUUAAGCCUUGUGCAGCGAGCCAGCUGGAGAAGCCAUGGGCGUAAUGUCGUGGUUCAAUGGGGCAUUAGACACAUAGCUAACUCGAGCUCAUGAGGACUAUGCAUAGCACAAGGGCACAAUGCCUUGUGCACCAAGAAUGAACAACCAUGGGCGCAAUGCCAUGGCUCGUUGCUGUGAAGCUUGACCUGACAGUGGGAGCUAGGCACAUGCCCAGGCCAUGGGCACCUUGACAUGGCAUGGGCUCACAUAUCAGUGUAGGGAAGGCACACUAAUGCACCAAACACCUGGUCAACUGAUUAGUGCAUGCUGCUGGUUUAGAUGGCAGCUAGCUAGUGGCAGUAAGUGAGUGAUCAGGACAACAUUCAACUACAAGGGACUGGCAGAUGGUUGUGGUGCUGAUGGCUGGUAUGAAGAGACACCUUGGACUGAAAGAGUGUCUCCAGCUCUAAGCAUUGUACUCUGACUCAAGCUGAGACACUUUGGGAAAACAAUUUUGUAUCUUGUAGAGUUGAAUAAUACAAGUUAGGAAGGGUGUUUUCCGUAGUUGUGUGGUUGUCUGUUACUUUGUUUUUCUAAGGGCUGGGAAGAAAGGUUGGCUAAGGAAGGGUUCUUAGCACCGCACACUCAAUGAAAAAAAAAAGGUUGAUAUUCAAGGGUGUGACACCUACCAUGUCUACAUGAAAAAUCUUAACACAGAAACAUAUAUUGGCAGUUCCCACUCGUUGGUUAUAAGCAUUUAUUUCUUACUAAAUUUGUUAUGAAUAAGUAAUGAUAACUAACUUACUCUGUUCUCUAAAGAAAGGUUAAUCAACACUUUAAUUAAUUGGGUUCCUCUGAUAACAUUUGUCAAGCAUGGUUAGAGGAAGUGGCAAGCAAAAGAUUGACGCUUUGAUUAACCUAGGAGCUUAUUAUCUUGUUGGAAUUCCAUCUGGUGCAUUAUUAGCUUUUGUGUAUCACAUUGGAGGAAAUGUGACUCUUAUUCUACCUUCAGUCUUUCUCCUACUUUUAAUAUUCCAAUCUAGUUUAUAUUCUCCAGAAAGAAGAAAAGUUAACCCUUUUGUAUAUCUACUUGGUCCACAGGGACUCGGACAAGAAUUAUAGUUUCACUGUUCAUGCAGGCAGUAUCCCUCGCAAUCAUAAUUUUUUGCACUAAUUGGGAGAGAGAAGUAUAAUUCUUUUUCACUGAUGAUUGUGUCUGUGUCUGUGUCUGAGAAUUCUCUUGUUGAAUUCACUAAUGCUUUAUUUUAUCUCUUUCUUUUGCAGGUAAAGAAGGCUACUAAUAGAGUUCAUCAUGACUCAAUAGUCCCUGUGAAUGUAGCAUCAUCAAGUUCACAUUGAAGUAAUAUUGCUUAUCCGAUAAAAAUCAUGCCCAAUCGUAUAUUCCGUUUCUAGUGGUCCUACUAUCCGAUGUUCUAGUCCUUGAAACACAGUCCGCAACAAAGCAUUUUGAAAAGAAAGGAAUAUAUGAUUUAUUAAUAGCCCAAGCAUCUGGCAACAAAGUGAUAAACCCCAACCUCUUACUAAAAGGUGACGGAUAGUACAAAUUAAAUUGAUUACAAGAACCCACUAGUUCUAGUUUACCUUCUUUCACUUCACUGGCAGAAUCUUGACUUAUUCCCGACAAACUGUGGUGCCUUUAGAAUUAAUUCCAUAUUCCAUCGUCCAAAAUGGAUUUCUCUUGUAAAGCUAAAGAAUCAAAUUUUGAUAGGAGAAUUUUCAUAGAAACAGAUUUUUUUGAAUAAUUUUUAAAAUGAAUAGUUUUUGUUUUUUGAAUAAUUAAAUAUUAAAACAGUAAAAGAAGAAUAAUGAACCUUUAAAAGGUAAAGUAAUUUCAUUAUAUUAAAAUAUGAUUUUAUAUAUAUAUGUAUGUAUUUUUUUUUCAAUUUCUAUUUAAUUUUUUUUUUCUAUUUUUCUUUUGCAAAAAAUUUAGUAAACAUCUCACCUUAUGAGAUUGAGACCCAUAUUUUAAAUUUUAAUUAAUGGAAAACUACUAGGAAGCUACUGGACAAACUUGUUCUAUGAAUUUUGGACUAUAUGAAGAUGUAUCUGUGAAAAAAAAAAAUUUAAAUAAAGACACUUCAAGGUGGAGAGUAGUUUUAUAACAAUAUUUUCAGCUUUGUGGGCUGAGAUUUGUGAUUUGUAUUCCGAGUGGCGAUAACAGAGACAAGCCCUAUCUCCAUGGAUGGGGAAGACCAGAAACCAAGUCUGGAAUCACCAUUGAUUUCUCAAGAAGCUGUGUCUCACUCCAGGAAUGGAGCAAAAAGAGAGGAGAUCUUGGGUGAAGUGAAGAAACAGUUGAAAAUAGCAGGGCCUUUGAUGUUAGUCAAUGUUCUACUAUAUAGCUUACAGGUGAUUUCAGUAAUGUUUGUGGGUCAUCUGGGAGAGCUAGCUCUCUCUGGUGCUUCCAUGGCCACUUCCUUUGCUUCAGUCACUGGCUUCAGCUUGAUUGUAAGUAACAUGGAUUUUUUUUUUUUUUGUGUCAUCAUCUCACACAUCCAUCCACAUUUGAUUUAGCUACUUUUGGGUUGUACCCUUUCGAAUAUCUGUUGCAUCGCAUAAUUAUUCGGCUGAAUUCUUCAUUGGAUUGCCGACAUAGAUCAGAAAAUAUUUAUCUAAACUUAGAGGUUACUAUAAUAUUGUUGGGAAUCCAUCAUAACUUUUUUUUCCACAGCUUCUGUCCAGUUUCCUUUAUGGACCGAAAUUUUGUCUCAUUUAUCCAUUCUUAUCUCAUACAAUGACAACAGUGUCCUUUAAAUCUUCUUGAUUCAAGGCUCUUGGUUCUUGAUCCACUCUUGACCCCUCUACAAUGGACAAAGCAGUAAUAUAUUCUGAGUAAUGUUGUAACAACUUUCUCUGUUGUUUAUUUAUAAGAAGGAAUCAUCUUAAUCUUAAUUAGUAACUAAAACCUAUGAGAUAAAAAUUAUUGGAAGCUACAAAAACAAGAAAAAGAAAAAAAAAUGUUGGAUAAGAAAAAAUAUAAAAAAAAAGAAUGUCAGAGGAAAUAAUUAUUAUAAUAUAGAUAUUCUAGAUUAAAAAAAAAAAAAAAAAAGUGGACAUACCUGUGGAUUUAGAUUAUUGCCUGUGGAUAUAGACAUUAUUAUUAUUAAAAUAUAACAAAUUGAUCAAUUAAAUAUAAAAAAUAAGAUUUAGAUAAGAAAAAAAUGAGAAUAUAAUUGUAAAGCUAUCAAGAGAUGCUCUCACAUGGUCAUAGUGAACUCUUUUCAUUAAUUGCUACUUUCUUAUUAGUUACUACUUUUCAAUAUGACAUGAAAGAAAAGUUAUCGGGUGGUUUAAAAAAGCCCAAUCAAGAAAUCUGUUUCUCCAACUUCAUUGGAUUGAUGAAUAACUAUUAAUAUCAAGAAUAAUGAAAGGGCAUGAUCUAAUACCACUAUAUUAUUGGUUGGAGUUCUAAUCCUAAUUGAUAGAACAAUCUUUACCUUUUUGGUAUGGAAUGAAGGUAAGUAUCUAUCUAGUAAAAAAAUUUAAGUCUCCAACAUCAUUAGAUUAGAGUUGGGGUAUGGUAACUGAUGAAUAACUACUAGUAUCAAGAAUAGUGUACUUGUGUUUUUGAGUAAAUUUGUCCAUUUCUUUUAUCAAGUUAUUACUUAUUUUACAAAGAUUCUGCUUAUUUCUUUCUAUAUAUGUAAGAACCUUUGAGAAAGAUUUCAAGUGUUAAUUAUUUAGUAUGCAUUAUUAGUCUUCCAACACUCCAAAGACAUUUUCAACCAAGCUUUUGAAAUGAGUUUUAUCCACCUUUUUUCUUUCAUCUUAUUUCUUCAACUUUUCAUUCACAAUUAAAGGAGCAUUUUAGAGGUUCACAACCAAUCAUGCCAAUUUUUUUUAGGAUAUUCAACAUACCUCUUUUGACAAAUAAACACUCCAUCUUCUUUUUAAUAGACUUGAAUUCCCAAUGCAAAAAAUAGUACAACAAUCACAUGUUGCUCAUUUCAUAUUUUUUUCAUCAUUUUUUUUUUACUUUUCAAUCAUUUUUCAGCAUUUUAAGUUAAAAUCAAACCAACAACAAUAAGUAAGAAUCUUAGAGCUUCCUUUGCUCUUGAAACAAAGUAGUUAGGUUCAUUCUUGCUUCUAUAGAAGUCAUUUUUGGUGAAGUAGCUAUCAAUUUAAUUGUACUAGACAUAAAGAACUUGUUUCAAAUUGUACAAGGCCUUCUUCAACUUGUAAACCUUCUUUCCUUUACCAACAACAACAAAGCCUUGAGGUUGUUCCGUAUCAAUUUUUCAUUCAACUUUCCAUUCAAAAAUGUAGAUCUUACAUCAAGUUGGUAAAGUAACCAACCUUUUUUAGCAGCCACAACAAUGAUAGCUUUAAUAGUGUCAAGACAAGCAACUAGAGCAAAAGUUUCAUGGAAUUGCAACCAACCUUGUUGCAAACAUUCAAACCCUACUAUCAAAAUGGUGUUUCACCCUAUAGAUCCACUUCACCAAAAUCAUCUCUUUUCCUUUUCCUUUUGUGACUAGCAGCCAUAAUGCAUUUUCCUCAAUGAUAUCAAUUAUUUGUUCUAUUGCUUCCUUCAAUCUUCAUCUUCUACUGCCUUUUCAAAGCUUUGAGGUUUAGUAAUGCAAAAAUUGCAUCUCUUAUAAAUGUCACUCAAACUCUAUAUUUUUCCUGGAGUUAAGGAUAGUGAUGAUGAGCAUGAAGUUGGAGACCUAAUGAAGGGAGGCAAUGAAACUGAUCUUAGGGAGUUUUGAGGUGAUAAAAUUGAGUUUCCACUAUUAUCAUUUUCAGUGGGGGCACUAGUUGAACUUUUUCAAAGAAAUUUGUUUUUUGUUUGUUUGUUUGUUUGUUUGUUUGUUUGUUUUUUUAACUUUGCCUUCUCCUAAUUCCAAGAAACUUUUUCAUAAAAAAAAUUAUAUAUCUACUUAUCAUCAAAUUGUUUGUUUUUAGGUUUUACAUCCUAUAGCUUUUUGAUUCUAAGUUUUAACCUAUGGAAAUAUAUUUUUCACUUACUUCAUCCAACUUACUCUUCUUUUCUUUGAGUACUUGUGAAUAACAUAUACAACCAAACACUCUUAAGUGUCUCCUAGAUGGUUUUCUUUCACAUUAUUAUUGGAGUUCAAUUUAACAAUGCUUCUAUUGAGCAUCUAUUUAAUAAGCAUGCAAUAAUGUUAACAACUUCAUCUUGGAGGAUUUUAGGUAACCCUUUCUCAUGUAGCAUUGCUUUAACCAUUUUCAUAAUAGUUUGACUUUUUUCUUUCAACUACUUCAUUUUGUUGAGGAAUAUAUGUAGCAAUUUGUUACCUCUCAACCCCUUCAUCUUGAUGAAACUUCUCAAAUUGGCAUAAAGUAAAUUCUUUUCCUUUGUCACUUCUCAAGGUUUUUACAUAACAACCCUUUUGUUUUUCAACAAAACUAUUGAAAAAUUUUUAAGACAAUGAACAUUUAAAAAUUUUUGCUUCAUUAAGAAUACCAAAGUCAAUGUUGUAAAAUCAUCAAUAAAUAGUAUAAAAUAUUUGUUGUUACCUUGAGAAGUUGGACACAUAAGAACACAAUCAUCAACGUGAAUUAGAUCCAAUGCCUUUGCUCUUCAUGCAACUUCCUUGGGAAAUAAUUACUAUGAUGCUAUCCAAGAACACAACCUUCACAUACUUUAUUCUUUCCUUCAAUGGUGUUGAGCAAUCCUUAUACCAUCUUCUUUUGGCAAAGAAAAUUUAAACUUAUAUUGAAGUUCAAAGUGCCCACAUCUUCUAUGAAAAACCAACCUUCUUUAACAUCUUCUACUCUAAAAGCUACAUUUUAAGCAUAUUUGAAGACAAUUAGAACAUUUCUAUUUUUUUUUUCCAUUUUUAUCUUUGUCACUACACUUCUUCUUUGCCCCUUAUCAUAGAUGGUGCACUCAUUGUCUUUAAAGUGAAGUUUGUAUCCAUGCUCUACUAGCUAAUCCACACAAAGCAAAUUUUGCUCCAAAGCUGAAAACAGGUAGAAGAUUUCAAAUGUACUUGGUUACCAUUUUAGUUUGAAUGCUAAUGGUGUCUUUUCCCUUGACAUGCACUAGAUCACCUUUUACCCAUUUUGACUUAUGAUUUAAUGGUUCUAUCCAUGUCAAGAAAAAUAUCUUUAUUAUCAAACAUGUGGUUUAUGUAACCACUAUCAAUGAACCACAUAUUAUUUCUCUUCUUAAUAUCUUUUUGACAAGUAUAAAACAUAUUUUCUUUAUCUUCUUUUUUCUUCAACACAAUUUGCUUGUUGAUUGUUGGAAGCCUGCAAUCUUUUCUUAACAUACCCAAAUUUUAUUUAUAAUAGAGAAUUGAAGCUUCCCUUUAAACAAACAAUCAUUUUCAACAUGACCUUUUUUUUUUUGUGGAAAAUAUUGCAUUUUUGGAAUGUGUUAGUGAAUUGUCGAAAUUAGUGAUUUUUUUUCGACCAUUGAAUAUUUGUCUAGCUACCUCUUCCAUUUCUUCCUCUACCACUUUCUCAUCCACUUCUACCUAUCCUAGGUUCCAAAUAUUACAUUUUAGGAAUGCAUUAGUGAAUUUUCUUCCACUGUUGAAUCUUUCUUUACCUCUUCCAUUUCUUUGUCUUCCUCUUUCUCGUCCAUUUCUACCAACCCUAGGUGAAUCACUUCUAUUUUCAUUGCUUGUGGGUUUGUUUUCAACAUUUCUCAAGUGAAUGCUCAACUUGCACUAGAUUGCACUUUCAAUUGAUUUUUCAAAAUACCUCACUAGUCCCUGCUCAUAAGUUUUCAAGGACCUAAAAAAUGGCUCAUGUAAGCUUAGCUAAAAGAGGUUUUGUUUUUUUUUUCUUCAACCAUAGUCAUAAUUGGGUCAAUUUUAUCAAGUAGGCUAAUUAAAAUUUUCUCAAUAAUUCUUCUAUCAUUAAUUUUUUUCACAAUAUGACUUCAUCUAAUUUACUAACACCAUGAACUUGGAAGAGGACUUAUUUAAAGUUUCAUUUUCCCUCAUGUUCAUAUUUUCUAGCUCUCUUCAUAAAGUUUGGAGCAUUACUGAAUACUUUUCCAUCUCUUUGGAACUCCUAUUGAUGGUGUCCCAUACUUCUUUAACUUUUGAAGAUCUCAUAAUUNNNNNNNNNNNNNNNNNNNNNNNNNNNNNNNNNNNNNNNNNNNNNNNNNNNNNNNNNNNNNNNNNNNNNNNNNNNNNNNNNNNNNNNNNNNNNNNNNNNNAAAAAGAGAGUUUUUGAAUCCAUUUUUCUCAACAAUUUUAACUAAUGCUUUUUUUUUUUUCCAUUUGGAGUUAGUGUUGUUGCAUUUUUAGGUUCACUCAAAGCGAUUUAAAAAAAAAUCACAAACAUCUUGAAACAUAAAUAAUGUUUUCAUUUUCACACGCCAAAAAUCAUAAUUUUCCCUUAUAAAUGAUGAAAUAAAAGAAAGUUGAGAACUUAUACUUUUGUUACUUGUGGCAACCACUGAUGUACUCUAAAAAUCCUUGAUCUUCUGCAUCAAGGGUGAAGGUUCCUUGUUAUUCUUCUCAAAUAACAACUAAGUUGUUGAGCUCAUUGAUCACAACUUUGAUUCUACAUGAUCUUCUUAGACCAUAACAACUCUGCCUUCUUUUGUUUCUCUUUCUCUAUAUACUUAGGUUCAAGCAUUGAAAGGCAAAGGCAACAGAGACAGUCCCACCUACUUCAUACUUUAUUUCCUCACAACAAUCCUUUUGUAUUGAUAGCUACUCUCCUUCACCAAACCUUAGCCUGAUUGCUACGGAUUCAAGUCUUCAAAGAAGAAGAGAAACCUUAGAAUUCCUCCUCUCUGCUAUAAUAUGUGUUUGUCAAGAUUCCAUGAACAAGGAGCAUGCCAGUACUAGAGACAAGAGACAAGAAGAAUACUUAAAAAGAGAGAGAGAGUGAAAAAGAAAGUACGAGUUUGGGAGAGAACCUGCAAAUACAAAGCUAUCCAACAAUAAAACAAUUUAGAGAGUUAGAGAAAGAGUUAGAAACAUAAAAUCGCUAGCUUUUAUUCAACUUUUGUUAGUUGUUAUUUCAACCAAAAACGUGGGAUAGAAAUUGAAGAUAAAAAGGAUAUUUAAAAUGGAAGACUCAGCUGAAACUUGGUCUCCUUUUGUAUUUAUUUAUUUCCUACUACUAUUUUAUUUGAAGAUUGCAAUCCACAUUUAUAACAAAUUUAAUCAAUUAAAUCUCUCUCCAUGGAUCGAUAAUAUUCACACCAAAUACAAACACAAAAAACUAAUUUUUAUGUGAGUGACAUUAUGUAACAUUUUCUUUGUGAUGUUUUUAGCAUUAAUUUCACUUUUGUUUAAUAGGUAGGAAUGGGAAGUGCAUUAGACACCUUCUGCGGUCAGUCAUUUGGAGCAAAACAAUAUCAUAUGCUUGGUGUACACAAGCAAAGAGCUAUGGUUGUGCUUCUAUUGGUUAGCAUUCCUGUUGCUUUUAUUUGGAACAAUACAGGCCAUAUUCUUGCAUCAUUGGGACAAGAUUCAGAAAUAUCAGCUGAAGCCGGACUUUAUGCUCACUUUAUGAUACCUAGCAUUUUCGCUUUUGCGCUUCUACAAUGUCAUAUUAGAUUCUUACAAGCUCAAAACAAUGUAGUUCCCAUGAUGAUAACCACAGGAUUUACAACUCUACUCCACACCCUCACUUGUUGGAUGUUGGUUUUCAAAUCAGGUCUGGGAAACAAAGGGGCUGCCCUUGCAAAUGCCAUCUCUUAUUGGAUUAAUGUCCUCUUGUUAGCAAUUUAUGUCAGGAUCUCCCCUUCCUGCAAGAAAACAUGGACGGGUUUUUCAAAGGAGGCAUUGCAUGAUGUGCUAAAGUUUCUCAAAUUAGCUAUUCCUUCAGCUAUAAUGCUAUGGUAAUAUCUUUGGGUGACCUUUCACUUCAAUAGCACAUUUGUUGUGUGUAUUAGAAAUAUUCGUAGAUAUCAUGUAGUUUUAUUUGUCUGGUGUCUUGGAACAGCUUGGAAAUAUGGUCAUUCGAAAUGAUGGUAUUGUUGUCUGGUCUGCUUCCCAAUCCAAAGCUAGAGACAUCAGUUCUAUCAAUCAGGUACCAUAUCCCAUGCUUAUGCACUUGAAAUAAGCAUAAACCUUUAAUAGCCUUUGAGAAUUCCUUAAAGAUUACUAAAACUAGUUACAUAUUACUAAUGGAUUAUGUGCAUUUCAUCACAGCCUUAACACAUAUACAGUACUUUAUAUGAUACCCCUUGGACUUAGUGGCGCAACAAGGUACUUUUCAGUAAUUAGUUUAAUGGUUGUAGCUCCUGAAAAUCAACAUGUCUCUUGAAUCAUUCUUCUUUCCAUUUUUCUUUUUAGUACAAGAGUUUCAAACGAAUUAGGGGCUGGACGACCACAAGCAGCACUUUUAGCCGUGUAUGUUGCAUUAUUCAUGGUCGCCAUAGAAGGCAUUUUGGUAGCCACAGCCCUGAUCUUAGGACGUAACUUCUGGGGCUAUUCUUACAGUAGUGAAGAAAAAGUAGUGAACUAUGUUGGAGAGAUGAUGUUCUUGCUUGCAGGAUCCCACUUUAUAGAUAGCAUUCAAUCAGUGCUUUCAGGUAUGUGCCAAUUUGCAAUACGUACUUAUAAUCUUUAAUUUGAUUCUUCAUGACAACUGAAAUUUCUAUAAUAAUUUGUUUAUACUAAACCUAUAUCCAUGAAAAGAUGAAAAUUAAUCAAAAAUAUAUAUAGCCCAGUGUUAGAUAGAGAAAUUAUCUUCCUAAAGUAUAGUCCUACGCUGUCUGCAUGAAAUAUGAUCUGAAUUCACAAACAUAUAUUGGUAGUUCCCACUUUUUGGCUCUAGGCAUUUAUUUCUUACUAAAGUUGUUAUCAGUAAGUAAUGAUAGCACACUUACCCUAUCAUCUAAAGAAAGGUUAAUCAACACUUUAAUCAAUUGAGCGACUCUAAUAAUAUUUUCCAGGCGUGGUUAGAGGAAGUGGCAAGCAAAAGAUUGGGGCUUUGGUUAACCUAGGAGCCUACUAUCUUGCUGGAAUUCCAUCUGGUGCAUUAUUAGCUUUCGUCUAUCAUAUUGGAGGAAAGGUAACUCUUACUCUAUUUUUAAUCUUUCUCCCCACUUCUCAUAUUUCGUUCUAGUUUAUAUGCUCCAAGAAAAAGAAAAAUUAACCCAUUUGUAUAUCUACUUGGUUCACAGGGACUCUGGACAGGAAUUAUAGUUUCACUCUUCAUGCAGGCAUUAUUUCUUGCAAUCAUAAUUCUUUGCACUAAUUGGGAGAAAGAAGUAUGGUUAUUUCAUCGAUAUUUGUGUAUGUAUGAGAAUUUUCUUGUUGAAUUCACUAAUGCUCUAUUUCAUCUCUUUCUUUUGUAGGCAAAGAAGGCUACUGAUAGAGUGUAUGACUCAAUGGUCCCUGUGAAUGCAAUAUCAUCGAGUUGACAUUGAAGUAAUAUUUCUUUCUAACUAGAUCUAUAAAAAUUAUGCUCAAUCUUGUUUGAUAAUUUAUAAUAAUAAAGGUAAUUUAUGACUAUAAAAUAAUUUGCUUUGAACAUGUAAGCCCUACCAGUUUGGAAUAGCUCAUGGUUGUUCUGUCUAGUGUUCUGGGAUUGUUCAUUUCCACUAAUGUAAUCUUAUAGGGUUAAUUUUGAUCAAGCAAUACAUUAAUACUUAAAACCAAGGGUGUAUUGUAGUCCUCAUACUACAAUAGGAAUAUUGAAAUGACCUCAUUUUUGCAUCUGUUGGCUACAUUGUCUUGUACCAUACACCCAAUUUCCAUUAAUCCUAUCUAAACCUACUUGUUCUUGGAACUAAGUGACUUAAACAUACAAUCCGCUGGAGACAGCUAGAGUCCCAAGCCAUAGCAGAUCUCCCAGCUGAUUUCACUGUAGUAAUAGAAGGAACAUCCAGAGAUCGCAUACCUAUGGUGUUGAGGUGAAGGAUGGAGAGGCAAAGGCCAACGGACACUAUUGAUAGAUGGGUCCUCUAUCAGGGUUGGGGGUGAGUAGAUCAUAGGUUACUUAUUUCUGAAAAUGCUUUAUUGAAUAUGUUCUUGAAGGCUUGUAAUAAACUAAAGACAAAUAAAUAUCAACACUGUCAGUAUAGUGCAUUGCUUCCAUUAAAGCUAAAAAUUAUGUUUUAAUUUGGCUUUUCAAAUUAUUUUGUAACAACUUGAAACACAGUUGGUAACAAGGCAUUUUGAAAAGAAGAGAAUAUAUUAUGAUUUAGUAAUAGUCCAAGAAUCUAGUGACAAAGUGAUAAACCCCAACUAAUAUUAAAAGGUGAAGGAUCGUAUAUAUUACAUUUCUUACAAGGACCCACUAGUUCUAUCUUCUUUCACUUCACUGGCAGAAUCUCUACUUAUUCCCCAACAAAGUGUGGUGGCCUUAGGAUUAAUUUAUUUUUCGAUUAAUUUAUUUUUCCAUCAUCCAAAAUGGGGUUCUCUUGUAAAGCUAAAGAAUCAAAUUUUGUUUGGAGAAUAAUGUCCCUUUUUUCCUAUGGGUAUUUUAACCAAACAAAACUAUGAUAUAAUGGAAAAAUAAAUAAAUAAAUAUUAAUUUUUUCCUCUUUUUUCUUUAUAAUCAUAAAUUUAAAAUAAAAUGAGUAUUGAGAUUAUCAUAAAAUUACCUCAUUAAUUUUGUUUUCCGACACUAUUACAAAUAUAUUAAUAAAGUAUUAAAUUCUGAUUCUAUAUUUUUUUUUUCAAUUUCUUUUCUCAAAAACUUUAGUAAAUAUCUCACCUUACAAUGAUUGAGAACCUUAUUUUAAAUUUUAAUUAGUGGAAAAAUAGUUGGAACCCACUGGACGCGCUUGGUCUAUAAAUAUUGGACUAUAUGUAGAUGUGUCUAUGAAAAAAAAAAAAUUAGAAAGGGAGAAUUAUCUUUUGGGGGUAGAUGGGCCUCCAAAUUAAUAAAAGAUCCAUAUAACUCUUCAAAUUGAAUUGAAGGAUAUGAAAUAGUAACGGACAAAUAUACCCUUUAAGAACACAUAUAAAAUAUUUUAUAAAAUUAAGUUAAAUAAUUUUUCUUCAAUAAUUUUUUUUUUCAAAAAUACGAAAUUAAAUAAAAGUAGUUUUCAAAAAUAUUAAAUUAAAUAAUUUUUUUUUCAAAAAUAUUAAAUUAAUUUUUUUUUCAAAAAUAUUAAAUUAAAUUAAAGUAUUUAAAAAAUAUUAAAUUAAAUAUUUUUUAAUAUUAAAUUAAAUAAAUUUAUUUUUAAAAAAUAUUAAAUUAAAUAAAAGUAUUUUAAAAAAUAUUAAAUUACAUAAAAGUAUUUUUUAAAAAUAUUAAAUUAAAUCAAAAAUAUUAAAUGAAAUAAAAGUAUUUUUCAAAAAUAUUAAUUUUUUUUCUCAAAAUCAACAAGGGCAUUUUUGGAAAUACUGAAGAAUGAUAUCCUUCAACUCAAUUUCCAUACUUUCAUUGGGUCUUGGACUCAAUUUAAAGAGUUACAUGGACCUUUUGUUAAUUUAGGGGUCCAUCUACCUCCAAAACAUAAUUCUCCCAAUUAGAAAAUAAAGAUACUUCAAGUUCAAGGUGAAGGGUACUUUUAUAAUAACAUCUUCAGCUUUGUCGGCUGAGAUUUGUGAUUUGUAUCCCGAGCGGCGUGAACAGUAACCAGCCCUAUCUCCAUGGAUGGAGAAGACAAGAAACCAAGUCUGGAAUCACCAUUGAUUUCUCAAGAAGCUGUGUUUCACUCCAGGAAUGGAGCAAAAAGAGAGGAGAUCUUGGGUGAAGUGAAGAAACAGUUGAAAAUAGCAGGGCCUUUGAUGUUAGUCAAUGUUCUACUAUAUAGCUUACAGGUGAUUUCAGUAAUGUUUGUGGGUCAUCUGGGAGAGCUAGCUCUCUCUGGUGCUUGCAUGGCCACUUCCUUUGCUUCAGUCACUGGCUUCAGCUUGAUGGUAAGUAACAUGGGUUCUUCCUUUUUUAUUCAUUUUCUCACACAUUACCCACAUUUGAUUUAGCUCCUUUUGGGUUGUACCCUUUCAAAUAUAUGUUCUAUCUGUUAUUUGUUAUACUGAGUUCUUCAUUGGAUUGAUGACAUAGAUCAGAAAAUAUUUAUCUAAACUUAGAGGUUACUAUAAUAUUGUUGGGAAUCCAUCCUACCUUUGUUUCCACAGCUUAUCUCAUAGAAUGACAACAGUGUCCCUUCAACCUUCUUGAUUCAAGGCUCUUGGCUCUUGACCCACUCUAGGCCCACUCUACAUUGGACAAAGCAGUGGUAGUAUUUAGGAAUGGCAAUGGGCGAAUUUUUUCGGGUACCUGUCCUACCCCGCC